rnacentral:rRNA from 1 species
AUUGAACGCUGGCGGCAGGCCUAACACAUGCAAGUCGAGCGGAUGAAGGGAGCUUGCUCCUGGAUUCAGCGGCGGACGGGUGAGUAAUGCCUAGGAAUCUGCCUGGUAGUGGGGGAUAACGUCCGGAAACGGGCGCUAAUACCGCAUACGUCCUGAGGGAGAAAGUGGGGGAUCUUCGGACCUCACGCUAUCAGAUGAGCCUAGGUCGGAUUAGCUAGUUGGUGGGGUAAAGGCCUACCAAGGCGACGAUCCGUAACUGGUCUGAGAGGAUGAUCAGUCACACUGGAACUGAGACACGGUCCAGACUCCUACGGGGGGCAGCAGUGGGGAAUAUUGGACAAUGGGCGAAAGCCUGAUCCAGCCAUGCCGCGUGUGUGAAGAAGGUCUUCGGAUUGUAAAGCACUUUAAGCUGGGAGGAAGGGCAGUAAGUUAAUACCUUGCUGUUUUGACGUUACCAACAGAAUAAGCACCGGCUAACUUCGUG